GACGAACGCUGGCGGCGUGCUUAGCACAUGCAAGUCGAACGGAAAGGCCCUGCUUUUGUUGGGUGCUCGAGUGGCGAACGGGUGUGUAACACGUGAGUAACCUGCCCUUGUCUUUGUGAUAACUUCAGGAAACUGGGGCUCAUACCGGAUAUGAGCUCCUGCUGCAUGGUGGUGGUUGGAAAGUUUCGGCGGUUGGGGAUGGACUCGCGGCUUCUCCGCUUGUUGGUGUGGUAGUGGCUUACCAAGGCUUUGACGGGUAGCCGGCCUUAGAGGGUGACCGGCGACAAUGGGACUGAGAGACGGAGCAGACUCCUACGGGAGGCAGAAGUGGGGAAUAUUGCACAAUGGGCGGAAGCCUGAGGCAGCAACGCCGCGUGCGGGAUGACGGCCUUCGGGUGGUAAACAGCUGUCGCCGGUGACGAAGCGUGAGUGACGGUAAUGGGUAAAGAAGCACCGGCUAACUACGUG
rnacentral:rRNA from 1 species